rnacentral:sRNA from 2 species
GGCCACUGCUUGGGCGGUCAUGAAAACUCCUGUAUAGUUUACGUCCAUUAUCCGUGUGAUAUCCUCUGCUGUAUAAUCGAUUGCUGGCAUGAUCUGUUGAAUGCCCGCGGCAGCCACAAGGCCGUCGAUCCUGUGGUGGCUCCCUGCGAUUUUCACAACUGUGUCGUUGAGGAAUUUCGUGUCCCGCACAUCGGUAUGAUGGUAAUGCAGCGAGCCAACAUGGGAUCUAGCUGCUAGCUCUUGCGUUUCAACAAAUUCAGGAGCGGGUUCCUUCAGUAUAUCAAGACAGUGCACUGGGAUAGGAGAUAUGUUAUUACGUUUAUCGACCCCGGUUUUGUUUGUGAAGCUCAUGUUGCAGGGGACAGACCUUCAGCACCGGCUUCAGUCAUUGCCUCUGCCAUGCAUAGCCCUAGUCCCCGACCACCUCCAGUUACGACGUAUACUUUAUUCUUUAAACUAAAAUUCGGGUACACCUUUUGAUGGUGAUGGUUGCGGUGGGAGUGGCAUUUAUGCGAGCUGUUGUUGGUGGCCAUCGUGUAAGUCAGUCAGACUUUGAUUCAUGCGAUGAAAUGUACGAAUUGGUUGCUUUGGCAAUAGUCGGAACUUAGCAUGUCGGAUAAUGCUUAAUAUAUAAGGAACCCAACAGCUUAAGGUACUUUGACUGAGGCAUCUCAUUCAGAUGACCUAUGACAUAUGUGAUUGAAACUAUGAAGCCGUGGCAAUGUGUUAAGUUAGCACACCAGGCGAUCUCAACCUUUGGGAUACGUCAAUAUACU